rnacentral:lncRNA from 10 species
GUGACGUAUAACAGCGGCGUCCUUUGCAGCACGACGUCCCGGAAGUGCUGCGGCAAUGUUGCUCUUGGAGAUAGCUGGCGUUAGGGAUCCGCCUUCUCUCCCAGAGGCGGGGCAGGUUUCUGUUUGGUUGCCGCCCUAACGGCCAGAACUAAAGCACCUUGCAAGGAAUGAAGUUGGUUCUUGAAGUCCGUGCUGACUGGCUGGGCGCAUUUGCGCAUUUGCUUCUCUGGCUGCAAAAUGGCCCGCAACAGCACUCACUAAUUUGUUGCUAACUUCAGGAACUGUGCGGACAGGUCUCUGAGGCUUCUGAGCCGCGCUAUGUCCAGUAGAUCUGGGCGCCUCAGAACCUGUCACAGCCGACGGAAGCGUUUAUCUGAGUUUCUUGUUUCUUCCCAACCUUUUGAUUUUCGCACCAUUACGCGCUCAACUAUGCCUCUUCUUUUGUCCUAUGCCCUUUAUAUUUGACAUCAGCUUCCCCCACAUUCUCCAAAGCUUCUCUCACAAAUAAAGCCAGGUGCUCAGGCUGAGAAGAUUCAAGGAAAGGGUUCCUCACGUAGUUAUACAGUUGUGUUCCAGGGGAAGGAAAAUAUUGUUCGGUUUUGUUCUGCAAUUCCCCACGGUGGUUUUCGCUUCUAGAGACCUCACCAGAAACUGAUGCCAGCACCAUGCUUCCUGUAAAGCCUCCAGAACCAUAAGCCAAUUAAACCUCUUUCUUUAUAAAUUACCUAGCCUUGGGCAUUUCUUUACAGCAAUGCAAAAAAAAACAAAAAUGCUGGUUUCCACAGCCAUUCUUUAUCUUCAAAGAAUUUGGUAAAAUCUGGG